UAGUGCACUGAAUAGGAAUAGGGCGCCAUUUUGGAUGUAGUCUUUACAGUAGUAGUUGUGACUGGGCCCUAUGCCAUUUAAGGUGGGUAAAGUGAAAGUGGAGUUGAGGUAGAAGCCAGGGCUAGUGGAGGCAGAAGAGGAGAGGUCAGGGGGACUCUCUAUCUCCAACACAUGGCAGCAGUACUGUACACUGUGCUGCUGGGUUUGACCAACAAGUGACUUCCUCAUCACCAAUGCAAUGCUGGUGGUUCAAGCCCAGUUAUUUCAUCAUCUGCUUAAUGCUGCCCCAGUCUCUUUAAUGAAACCACCUGUGGCUUUUAGUGCAGGUUUGUAGCUUGUUCUAAAGUAGCAGACAGUCUCACCGCUCACAAUGCAGACAAAUAAAUGGUCGGUUCCAUCAUUAUUAGAUUUCUUUGACGUGAAUGUUUUAGUUUUUUGGUUGAUGUCCUUCUGGUCUUUUUGGAAACCUUACAAGAUGUUGUAAUGAUAGAUGAACAGUGUCCGUGUCUUUCUCGUUACCUGACAGUGUUGUAGACAGUAAAACUGGUCCAAUCUGUGUACAACAGAAUAGUUCAUUAAGCCCAAUAUCCUUUUCAAAGCAACUGUACAAAACCAUUACCUGGGGUAAAACAUGUUUAAAGCCGUAGAAAAGUGAUUUUUAAUAAACACUCGUCACCUUAACUACUGAUUAGCUUACAGGGACUGCUAGAUCUAUCGCCUUCUGCUUAGCGCUUCAGUCGUCUCUCCUCACUGUAAACAUGUCUGCUACGGGAAAUCACUUGAAAACAGAUAGUAGAUUCUCAAUCAUUUGUCUUUACAGAGUGACUAUGUUGUCUCCUGGAUAUUUAAAACCGUUAAAAACAUUUGGGGUUUUCUUUGUAAAACGUUUUGUGGUAUGAACUUUUCGUUCUUACUGGAGGCCCUCAGUACAGCAGUAUGGUACUUACUGGAGGCCCUCAGUACAGCAGUACGGUACUUACUGGAGGCCCUCAGUACAGCACUACAGUACUUACUGGAGGCCCUCAGUACAGCAGUACGGUACUUACUGGAGGCCCUCAGUACAGCAGUAUGGUACUUACUGGAGGCCCUCAGUACAGCA